UAUAUCGGAAAAUUGGUUUCUCAAAUUAUUGUUAAACAACUAGGAAAUUUCAUCUUGGGAUAUGUUAAUUCCACAUCAUAAAAAAUCCUAGUUAGCAUCUGCCAAAUCAUCAUCUACAGAAGACACCCUGACAUCCAAAUCAGUAUAAACUUGAGGUGUAAGUAAAUGUUAGAAUAAUGAAUACCAUGUGAGGUUGUGAAGGGUUUGUCAAUAUAGACCAAUAUAUGUGACAUUAGACUUGGUUCAGCCCAAAAAUCUGGUCUGAAACAAUUAAUCAAAG
rnacentral:lncRNA from 1 species